rnacentral:rRNA from 1 species
CAGGUGCUGCAUGGCUGUCGUCAGCUCGUGUUGUGAAAUGUUGGGUUAAGUCCCGCAACGAGCGCAACCCUUAUCCUUUGUUGCCAGCGAUUCGGUCGGGAACUCAAAGGAGACUGCCGGUGAUAAACCGGAGGAAGGUGGGGAUGACGUCAAGUCAUCAUGGCCCUUACGAGUAGGGCUACACACGUGCUACAAUGGCGCAUACAAAGAGAAGCGACCUCGCGAGAGCAAGCGGACCUCACAAAGUGCGUCGUAGUCCGGAUCGGAGUCUGCAACUCGACUCCGUGAAGUCGGAAUCGCUAGUAAUCGUGGAUCAGAAUGCCACGGUGAA